GAGUUUGAUCAUGGCUCAGAUUGAACGCUGGGGAAGCGUUACACAUGCAAGUCGAACGGCAGCACGGACUUCGGUCUGGAGGCGAGUGGCGAACGGGUGAGUAAUAUAUCGGAACGUAUCCAAUAAUGGGGGAUAACUAAUCGAAAGGUUGGCUAAUACCGCAUACGCCCUACGGGGGAAAGCUAGGGAUCUUCGGACCUGGCGUUAAUGGAGCGGCCGAUAUCUGAUUAGCUAGUUGGUGGGGUAAAGGCCCACCAAGGCGACGAUCAGUAGCUGGUCUGAGAGGACGACCAGCCACACUGGAACUGAGACACGGUCCAGACUCCUACGGGAGGCAGCAGUGGGGAAUUUUGGACAAUGGGCGCAAGCCUGAUCCAGCCAUUCCGCGUGAGUGAAGAAGGCCUUCGGGUUGUAAAGCUCUUUCGCAAGGGAAGAUUACUUAUCCUCUAACAUAGGAUGAGGUUGACGGUACCUUGAUAAGAAGCACCGGCUAACUACGUGCCAGCAGCCGCGGUAAUACGUAGGGUGCGAGCGUUAAUCGGAAUUACUGGGCGUAAAGCGUGCGCAGGCUGUUUUGUAAGUCAGAUGUGAAAUCCCUGAGCUCAACUUAGGAACUGCGUUUGAAACUACAAGACUAGAAUAUGUCAGAGGGGGGUAGAAUUCCACGUGUAGCAGUGAAAUGCGUAGAGAUGUGGAGGAAUACCAAUGGCGAAGGCAGCCCCCUGGGAUAAUAUUGACGCUCAUGCACGAAAGCGUGGGGAGCAAACAGGAUUAGAUACCCUG
rnacentral:rRNA from 1 species